AUUAUGGCAGUAAUAAGGUUCAAUUUGGGUUUUCCAAAUAAAUCAAAGUAGGUGGUGCCCUGCUGGCAAGCGUAACAACACUCAUUUAAAACCGCUUAAGCCGAAUCGGGCGGAUGAUUCACUCCAAAGCAAAGCUUUCCCACUGCGCCGAACAAAAGUGAAAGUUUCCCCCAUCUCCCAUGUCCCCCUGCACUGGAAAUUCGCAACUAUAUGGCUGUUGCUGUUGUUGUUGCUGUCAUACAUAAUGAACCGUUGCUUUGUGCAUGCACCGAAGCGAGCAUAAAAGAGCAACAGCUAGAGAGAGAGAGAGAAAAAGCUUAAGUACUGGCUAGACUAGGCUUGAAGAUAUCUUUUAUGUGGUCUCCCUGCGGAAUUUAGUAUCUCUUUUGUAUUGUCAUUGGUAUUGCCAGUGGGCUUAGAUUACAUAUUGACCCAACAAAAACUAUAUACAUACAUAUAUGUAUACCCCAGAGCAAUAGUGCGUAAAAUAUUGUUGCUGGCAAAGCUGGCGCUGUUCCGUUUAGCCAUAAAUUUAAGCGCCAGGCUGCAGCUUUUGUACCAGCUGAGCGGUGACGAUGUCGCUAACGAUUGCGUGAUUGCAGCAAAGCAAUGAAAAUGGCUUUUGUAUUAAAAAUAAAAAACCCAAAAUUAA
rnacentral:sRNA from 15 species